rnacentral:lncRNA from 1 species
CCUCCUCAUAUUUCACUGAUUUACUCUGUGAAAUUGCUGGCUGUCACUCAUAGACUCCCUUUAACCAGACAACUGCAAUCAUAACGCCUGCCACUAAAUCUUUGGGAAAGUGCAAUUUAAAAAAAAAAAUAUUAACAGACUAAGCUUUCAUUUUGGAAAAUUGAAAACCAUGGAAGAGUCCCCGAGCAGCUCUGUUUACGGGUUACAGAUGAAAUAUGGAAUUGCACCUGCUCCUAGGAAGAAGAGAGCUGUUCCUCAGUGUUUUGUGACGGAAAUGAAACACAGUUACAAGCACCCGCAAAAGCUGGCAAAGCUGAAGAACAACACCUCCCGCUAUGGAUGUAACACCCUGCAUGGCGUGUACGCCAAAGGCAUAGUCCCCACAAUGGUUCAUGACAACAAGCACAAUCAAGAGACCAAGAAACCACUCGCCACCAAAUCCAGACAAACUGGAGGAAAAACAGUGGACAACCAUGGUAUGCUCACAUCCCCGCAACCCAGCGAACACCAGCAGCUUUCUGGAUGUGUCGCGGGAACUGAUAAGCAGGUUCUGGAAGCUGCUGUGCAAAGUCCUGCUCCAUCCAGUCCUGUACAAGGGAUGGAGUAUCUGCCUGCUGUCCACUAUCAGGUCUCCGAACACGUGCCAACAUGGAUAUCAGAAUGGCCAGGACCUCUGUAAAUGGGCCAGCUUCAGCCAACCAAAGUCAAACUUCAGAUUUAAUGCAUUAAAAAAAUAAAUGAACUGCCU